GUAUCGACCCGCGCGGUGCCGUAGCCAACGCGUUAAGUUCUCCGCCUGGGGAGUACGCACGCAAGUGUGAAACUCAAAGGAAUUGACGGGGGCCAGCACAAGAGGUGGAUUAUGUGGUUUAAUUUGAUGCUACGCGGAGAACCUUACCAGGGAUUGAACUGCCAAGAAAGAUCCAGAGAUGGGUCUGUGCCCGAAAGGGAACUUGGACAGAGGUGGUGCACGGCUGUCGUCAGCUCGUGAUGCGAAUUGUCAGGUUAAGUCCUUGAACGAGCGUAACCCUUGUUUUCAGUUGCCCGAAAGGGAACUCUGGAAAAACUGCCGAUGUAAAUCGGAGGAAGGAGAGGAUGACGUCAAGUCAGCAUGCCCCUUAUAUCCUGGGCUACACACGUAAUACAAUGGUCGAGACAGCGAGACGCUACCCCGUAAGGGCACGCUAAUCUCUCAAACUCGGCCUCAAUUCGAAUUGUGUUCUGCAACUCGAACACAUGAAGCCGGAAUCUCUAGUAAUCGCCAAUCAGCUAUGUGGCGGUGAAUACGUUCCCUGGCCUUGUACACACCGCCCGUCAAAUGGAGGGAGUGAGCUUCGCUCGAAGCCGUUCAGACUAACCCACAAGGAUGUCAACGUCUACAGCGCGGCUUGUGACUUCUAUUAAGUCGUAACAAGGUAACC
rnacentral:rRNA from 1 species